UAUUCCCCAAUUCUUCAACUUUCUAAAUCUUGCUUUCUUCUAUUACGAGCUUGAUAUUUAAGAAGGAAGAAGGUAGAAAACAGAAUCCAUGGACACACAAGACUGUUGAUGCCGCCGCACCUCAUGGCUCCAACGUUCAGUGGAAUUGUGGUGAUUAAGGAGACGGCAAUGGUGGUGGUAGGGGUUACGGCGGUGGAUGAGGUGGCGACCGCUAUGGUGGUGGAGGAGGCUUGGCGGUGAUGGUUGCAAUGGUCGUGGUGGAGUUCGUGGUGGUUAUUAAUGUGGUGGUGGUUGGUACGGAAGAGGAAGAAGAGAGUAGAUCGGAGAAAGAAUCGAGCGGCAAGCACAGAGAGCACAUGCAGCGAGACUAAGAAAGCAGAGAGCACAGCAGCAGCAACAAGAACAUAGCGGUGAGAUCUAACCGGCAGCCAAUCUAGCUGCGGGUUCCGUAAGCUUCAGUAGCUUUAUGUGAUCUUUUCUGUGAAGCAUACUCUGCUACUUACGCAACGCAGAAUCGCUCAUCUCCCCUCAAAGAUAUCAUACUAUACAGUAUCCAGGAAACAACAAAUUUUGUCAGAAGUUGUGUAUUUUGUUCAAUGGGGUCAUCCUUUUCAAACCAAACCUUGAGUUUCAGUUCAAUUUCAGUUCCGCAAAAGGCUCAACCACAGAAGAAACAAACUGGAAAAAAAGCUUCAUACCAAGCAAAUGC